GUGCAGCCCUCACUGGUGUUUUGCUCUGAUUCUGUGUGAGGGUCACCGCUGGGACCCACGGUCACUGGUCACAUCCUCCUCACGGGUGCCUGCAAUGACAGGCCUCCGCAGGGGGCUCUGACCCCAUCUGUCUGCACCGGAGGGGCUGUGCUCAGAUCCAGGGGUCGCGCCACAGCUGUGUCCAGUGGCUUCCUCACACCAGCUAGGAAGGGCAGCAACAGCACGUGCACGCACACACGCACACAACGCGCACACACACGCAUGUGUCAGUGCUAAUUUUUGGGCAGAGCGAUGUCUGCCUACAGGAGACGUCUCCUUAAAUUCUCAUAGGUGGAUAUUUCUCUUUUAUAAACAAAGUUUGCACCCAAAAUGCCUUGAAAUGUUUUUAAUAGAAUUGGUCUAGUAAUCGUUCAGGAUUUCGGUGAUGGGCCCUCCCUGUCUGGACACUGCCAACCCACAGCUGGAGGGGCACUUAAGGCACGUCAUUUUGUGAUUAGAAUUACACGAAAUUUGAUUAAUAUUAUAGCUGC
rnacentral:lncRNA from 1 species